rnacentral:rRNA from 1 species
GAUGAACGCUGGCGGCGUGCCUAAUACAUGCAAGUCGAGCGAACGGACGAGAAGCUUGCUUCUCUGAUGUUAGCGGCGGACGGGUGAGUAACACGUGGAUAACCUACCUAUAAGACUGGGAUAACUUCGGGAAACCGGAGCUAAUACCGGAUGAUAUUUUGAACCGCAUGGUUCAAAAGUGAAAGACGGUCUUUCUGUCACUUAUAGAUGGUUCCGCGCUGCAUUAGCUAGUUGGUAAGGUAACGGCUUACCAAGGCAACGAUGCAUAGCCGACCUGAGAGGGUGAUCGGCCACACUGGAACUGAGACACGGUCCAGACUCCUACGGGAGGCAGCAGUAGGGAAUCUUCCGCAAUGGGCGAAAGCCUGACGGAGCAACGCCGCGUGAGUGAUGAAGGUCUUCGGAUCGUAAAACUCUGUUAUUAGGGAAGAACAUAUGUGUAAGUAACUGUGCACAUCUUGACGGUACCUAAUCAGAAAGCCACGGCUAACUACGUG